CCAAUAGCGUAUAUUAAAGUUGUUGCAGUUAAAAAGCUCGUAGUUGAAUUUCGGGAUUGACACAUCGGUCGUGCCUUAAGGGGUAUGAACUGGUGUAGUCAAUUUCUCACCUUCUGGAGAACCGCGAUGUCCUUAAUUGGGUGCCGCGAGGAACCAGGACCUUUACUUUGAAAAAAUUAGAGUGUUUAAAGCAGGCAUUUUUGCUUGAAUACAUUAGCAUGGAAUAAUAAAAUAGGACGGCAUGGUUCUAUUUUGUUGGUUUCUAGGACCACCGUAAUGAUUAAUAGGGAUAGUUGGGGGCAUUAGUAUUCAAUUGUCAGAGGUGAAAUUCUUGGAUUUAUUGAAGACUAACUACUGCGAAAGCAUUUGCCAAGGAUGUUUUCAUUAAUCAAGAACGAAAGUUAGGGGAUCGAAGACGAUCAGAUACCGUCGUAGUCUUAACCAUAAACUAUGCCGACUAGGAAUCAGACGAUGUUAAUUUUUUAAUGACUCGUUUGGCACCUUACG
rnacentral:rRNA from 1 species